rnacentral:lncRNA from 1 species
GAGCUGAAGCAAACAGUUGUCAGUUCAAACACCGUCGCAGGAGACCGUCCACCUGAGGGAGUGGUGGGAGUGACCAUCAGCUAGACAGAGGUGGGAGCUGGGGAGAGGAGGGUGGGAGGCGUCAGCAGUAGCUAGGAAGGAUGAGACAGGACUUAGUGAUCAUGGGAAACUUCCACAUGGGGAGCUGAGGCCGUGGAGAGUCAGAAGGCACAGGCAGGAGAGAGCCAGCAGGUCCGUGUUGGACAUGGUUGCUACUAUGUCCCUCUCCCUGGGACAGAAUGCGUUAUCUUUUCCACAUGACAAGACACUUGCUUCCUCCAUGACCCUGCCAUGCUCCUCCUCUCUGGGCUGUGUUCUGUAUUCUCUGUCGCUGGUGUGUGUGAGUAGUGAGGCCACUGUCUGCUUCUCUUUUCCCCCUAUGUAUAUAUGUGUGUGGUGUGCAAGCUUGAGUAUAUGCAUGUUCAAAUUGGUGUGGUUGCGUGUGUGUCUCUGCAUUUGGAAGCUGGCAUCGAGAGUCUUCUUGGAUAGCUCUCAUUAUUCUUUGGUGCAGGGUCUCUCAGUUGAACCCAGAACUUGCAGAAGGGACUGGGCUGGUUAGACAGCUUGUCCUGGGGAAUUCCUGGCACCAGUUUUGAGCUCUGGAAUCCACCCAGCAUUUUGUGUACGUUCUGGGGGCCUGAGAAGCAGGUGUCUUAAGCACUGAGCCAUCUCCCCAGCCUGCUUAUAGAGAUCUCUAAUGUAGCUUCACUCCGCUUCCGUAUUCUUUUGCAGUACCCCUGUUGUGUUAAUGGCUGAAGCGCUAGACCCAAAGCAGGACCUUCCCUUAGGAGUGUGACUAGGCGGAGUUCGGCUCCUGUUCUCACUUCUAGCUAAGGAUAGAAGGGAUCCAGGGCUAGAGAGGAUAUACUGAGCUGCUGAGGAGCAGGGUCAAGUUUAAUAGUCGUCAGCUAUUCGUGUUAAGAUGGCAUGAUCACUCUAAGUCGUCCAUUCUUUGGGUCGGAGAGGUGCUGGGGACUUAUUUAGGGACUCUCCUAUGUCAUGUUCCAUGAGUGAGCUCAGUAGCCAGCCAGCCCAACAUGUUCCAUACUUCAGGCAGUCCUUAAACUUGUCACCUCCCUGUAGCUGGGUCACAUUACCUUUUACAGGUAGUUUCAGCUUCUUUUCUUGUUAAGUAAGUGUUUCAAAACCUUUGUAAUGAUUUCUUUUAAAUUAUAAGUAUGUGUGCGUGGGUAGAUGAGGAGGCUGGCCAGGAAGGCCAGAGAAGAUCAUUAGAUCUCUGGCACUUGGGUUACAGGCAGUUAUAAGCUGCGUUUGUAAGUGCUGGGAAUUGAACCUGGGUCUUCUGGAAGAGCUGCAAGUGCUCUUAAACACUGAGCUGUCUCUAGGCCCUUUUUCUUCUUUCUUCCUCUUUCUCCCUCCUCUUCCUCUUCCUCCUCCUCCUCCUCCUCCUCCUUCUUCCUCCUCCUCCUCUUUCCUUCUUCUUCUCCUUCUUCCUUCUUCUUUCUUCUUCUUCUUCUUUUUCUUCUUCUCCUUCGCCUUCUCCUCCUCCUCCUCCUUCUUCUUUUUUCUUCUUCCUUCUUCUUUCUUCUUCUUCCUUCUUCUUUCUUCUUCUUCCCUCUUCCUCUUCCUCUUCUUCCCUCUUCCUCUUCUUCCUUCUUUUUCUUCUUCUUCUUCUUCUUCUUCUUCUUCUUCUCCUUCCUCCUCCUCCUCCUCCUCCUCCUCCUCCUCUUCCUCUUCCUCCUCCUUCUACCCCCCUCUCUCUCCCUCUCUCUUUCUUCCCUAUGUCACUUAGGACUAAACAUCAGGUCCUGAACAUGCUAGGCAGGCCCCCUGCCUCUGUAAUAUCCCAGCUUCAGGCUCACUCUGUGGCCCAGGCAAGCUUUGAACUUGGGAUCUUCUUGUGGUAAGAUUAUAGGCAUACAUCACCAGACCGGGCAUUAUGAUUCUUUUUUUUUUUUUUUUUUUUUUUUUUUUUUUUGUAAGCUUUACUGUUUGUAAUCUUCUAUUUUGGGGAGCCAUUAAUCUAAUCCCACCCUUCCUUACAGAUAAUAGUAAGCAUAUGCCUUGUGAUUAUAACAGAACAUGCAACAGUUGCUAAGCCCCUGUGUGACUCUAAGCUCUAUAAGGGCCAUGAUUGUGUCCUCUUUGUUUAUUUGAGACAGCGUCUCACAGUGUAGAGCUGGCUGGGCUAGAACUCUCUGUGUCGAUCUGGCUGGGCCUCAAACUAGAAGAGAUCGCGUGCCUCCACGCCUGACCUGCCUAGUGUCUUUAUGCCUGUGUUACUUAACACAGAGUAACUUAACGUGACAGAGUAAACAACUGAGAUCAGUAAGAAGAGAAGGAAGGGUGUGUUUUGACUCUUGGCCUCCGAGGUUUCAGUCUGUGUCACUUGGCCCUGUACGCUUUGUGGCAGACGUCUCAUUGGAGACUUGCCAACGGUAUUGCCCCUCGGAGGCGUUGAGAGGAAGAGAUGUAUCCUGUAUCCCUGAAUCCCCUUUGAAAGCUUGUCACCAGUGACUAAUUUCCUCCCUCUAGACUCUGUCUCUUAAAGCCAAUGAAUGACAUCAGUCUUUCGACACGGGGCCUUUAGGGAACUGUCAGCCUGGAGACAAAACGCUGUGCUGUGCUCCAGUAUGCAGCAGGGCCUGUCAGAGUAGACUCUGGACACUUACUCGCUGAAGGAAGGGACCCUCAGGCCAGCAGUCCAGAGACCGGGCUUGCAGUGAUAUGUAUUCUGCAUUUAUUUGUGUAUGAGCAUGUGUAUGGAGGUCAGAGGGGCUCUUGGAGAGAGUUGGUUCUCUCUUUUCAUCUUGUGAGUUCAAACCUAGGUAGCCAGGUUUAGCACCAAAUGCCUUUAUCCCCUGAGCCAUCUCACCAGCUCCUGUAGUGAUAUUUAUUAUGCAUAAGCCCCCAGAGGGACUCAUCUGAAGCAAGGACAGUUUUUAAGAGUCAUGGGGACCAGUGAGAGUCAGAUCUAUUAUCGUUCAUCUUAGGCAUCCAACUCAGGUUGUCUUGCUUGGCUGCAAUCACCUUACCCACUGAGCCAUUUUGCCAGCCCUCUGUUUCUUUCUUUCUUUCUUUCUUUCUUUCUUUCUUUCUUUCUUUCUUUCUUUCUUUCUUUUUGUUAAUUAGGUAUUUUCCUUUUUGUUGUUGUUGUUGUUUUUUGUUGUUGUUUUGUUUUGAGACAGGGUUUCUCUGUAUAGCCCUGGCUGUCCUGGGACUCACUUUGUAGACCAGGCUGGCCUCGAACUCAGAGAUCAGCCUGCCUCUGCCUCCCGAGUGCUGGGAUUAAAGGUGUGCGCCACCACGCCCGGCGGUAUUUUCUUCAUUUACAUUUCAAAUACUAUCCCAAAAGUCCCCCAGACCCUGCCCCUCUCUGUUUCUUUUUAUAGGUUAUCAUACGAAAAAACUCUGUGUCUAAGGCUUAAUAGUAGACCAGAUCUUCCUUCCUUCCUUCCUUCUUUCCUCCCUCCCUCCCUCCCUCCCUCCCUCCCUCCCUCCCUUCCUUCCUUCCUUCCUUCCUUUCUUCUUUCUUCCACUGUUUAAG